rnacentral:rRNA from 1 species
UGAGGAAUAUUGGACAAUGGGCGCAAGCCUGAUCCAGCCAUGCCGCGUGCAGGAUGACGGUCCUAUGGAUUGUAAACUGCAUUUGUACAGGAAGAAACAGUUCUACGUGUAGAACCUUGACGGUACUGUAAGAAUAAGGAUCGGCUAACUCCGUGCCAGCAGCCGCGGUAAUACGGAGGAUCCAAGCGUUAUCCGGAAUCAUUGGGUUUAAAGGGUCCGUAGGCGGUUAGAUAAGUCAGUGGUGAAAGCCCAUCGCUCAACGGUGGAACGGCCAUUGAUACUGUCUGACUUGAAUUAUUAGGAAGUAACUAGAAUAUGUAGUGUAGCGGUGAAAUGCUUAGAGAUUACAUGGAAUACCAAUUGCGAAGGCAGGUUACUACUAAUGGAUUGACGCUGAUGGACGAAAGCGUGGGGAUCAAACAGGAUUAGAUACCCCGGUAGUCCCUGAGCGGGCUGGCAAGGCGCAU